rnacentral:rRNA from 1 species
AUGGCGCUCGUCCCACACGGCGGUGGUGCGGGCGGAUCAAUGACGAUGGCGAUGCCGAUGCUGACCGCGGACAACUACACGGUCUGGGCCAUCAAGGCACAGGCGAUCCUCGACGUCCACACCGUGUGGGAGGCGGUGGCGCCGGGCGACGCGGCGGUGAACGCGCGGAAGGACAAGAUGGCGCGCGCAUUGCUACUCGGGGCAUUGCCGGAGGAUGUGCUGCUGCAGGUGUCGAGAAGCUCACCGCCAGGGAGGUAUGGGGCUCCCUGA